UACGGAGGGUGCAAGCGUUAUCCGGAUUAAUUGGGAGUAAAGGGUGCGUAGGUGGGAAGGUAAGUAAGUGGUGAAAUCUCCGGGCUUAACUCGGAAACUGCCAUUGAUACUAUCUGUCUUGAAUACCGUGGAGGUUAGCGGAAUAUGUCAUGUAGCGGUGAAAUGCUUAGAUAUGACAUAGAACACCAAUUGCGAAGGCAGCUCACUACGGGAUUAUUGACACUGAGGCACGAAAGCGUGGGGAUCAAACAGG
rnacentral:rRNA from 1 species